rnacentral:rRNA from 1 species
UACGGGGGGGUAAGCGUUGUUCGGAAUUACUGGGCGUAAAGGGCUCGUAGGCGGCCAACUAAGUCAGACGUGAAAUCCCUCAGCUUAACUGGGGAACUGCGUCUGAUACUGGAUGGCUUGGAUUUGGGAGAGGGAUGCGGAAUUCCAGGUGUAGCGGUGAAGUGCGUAGAUAUCUGGAGGAACACCGGUGGCGAAGGCGGCUACCUGGCACAUAACUGACGCUGAGGUGCGAAAGCGUGGGGAGCAAACAGG